GACGUAGGGUGCAAGCGUUGUCCGGAUUUAUUGGGCGUAAAGAGCUCGUAGGCGGUUUGUCGCGUCGACUGUGAAAACCCGAGGCUUAACCUCGGGCCUGCAGUCGAUACGGGCAGACUAGAGUUCGGUAGGGGAGACUGGAAUUCCUGGUGUAGCGGUGAAAUGCGCAGAUAUCAGGAGGAACACCGGUGGCGAAGGCGGGUCUCUGGGCCGAUACUGACGCUGAGGAGCGAAAGCGUGGGGAGCGAACAGG
rnacentral:rRNA from 1 species